rnacentral:rRNA from 1 species
AAUCCUCUAGGCCGAAUAUCCAAGGUUUCCAGGGUAAAGCUGAUCUGCCCUGGGUAAGUCGGGGCCUAAGGUGAGGACGAGAGUCGUAGCCGAUGGACAACAGGUGGAGAUUCCUGUACUAUGAUAUGACAGAACUGUGGGGACACGUGCAGAGGGCGGAAGCCGGGAAUGGGAUCCCGGUGCAAGCGAGGUACCAGCCGCAUUGGAAAAACCGUGCGGCAAUGGGAAGACGUGAUGCGGAGUGAAGUUUAGUAAUGAAGUCCGUGAGCAGUGCGUCAAGAAAAGCCGCUAUUGUUCAUACCAUACCCGUACCGUAAACCGACACAGGUGGAUGAGGAGAGAAUCCUAAGGCCGGCGGAAGAAGCAUUGUCAAGGAACUCGGCAAAAUGACCCCGUAACUUCGGGAGAAGGGGUGCCUGCGAGAGCAGGCCGCAGAGAAUAGGCUCAAGCAACUGUUUAGCAAAAACACAGGUCUAUGCGAAACCGAAAGGUGAGGUAUAUGGGCUGACGCCUGCCCGGUGCUGGAAGGUUAAGAGGAGAGGUUAGCGCAAGCGAAGCUUUGAAUUUAAGCCCCAGUAAACGGCGGCCGUAACAAUAACGGUCCUAAGGUAGCGAAAUUCCCUGUCGGGUAAGUUCCGACCCGCACGAAAGGCGUAAUGAUUUGAGCGCUGUCUCGACAAUGCAUCCGGUGAAAUUGAAGUACCAGUGAAGAUGCUGGUUACCUGCGCCAGGACGGAAAGACCCCAUGGAGCUUUACUCCAGUUUGGUACUGGGAUCCGGUACUGCAUGUACAGGAUAGGUGGGAGGCUGAGAAUCGGUAACGCCAGUUGCCGAGGAGCCGCUGUUGGGAUACCACCCUUGCAGUAUUGGGUUUCUAACCAGCCGCCGUGACCCGGCGGUGGGACAAUGCCAGACGGGGAGUUUGACUGGGGCGGUCGCCUCCGAAAGGGUAUCGGAGGCGCCCAAAGGUUCCCUCAGGAUGGACGGAAACCAUCCAAAGAGUGCAAAGGCAGAAGGGAGCUUGACUGCGACACCGACGGGUGGAGCAGGUACGAAAGUAGGGCUUAGUGAUCCGGUGGUAUUAAGUGGGAAUGCCAUCGCUCAACGGAUAAAAGCUACCCUGGGAUAACAGGCUUAUCACUCCCAAGAGUUCACAUCGACGGAGUGGUUUGGCACCUCGAUGUCGGCUCAUCGCAUCCUGGGGCUGUAGUAGGUCCCAAGGGUUGGGCUGUUCGCCCAUUAAAGCGGUACGCGAGCUGGGUUCAGAACGUCGUGAGACAGUUCGGUCCCUAUCCGGCGUGGGCGUAGGAUAUCUGAGAGGAGCUGUCCUUAGUACGAGAGGACCGGGAUGGACGGGCCGCUGGUGCACCGGUUAGACUGCCAAGUCUAUAGCCGGGUAGCCAAGCCCGGAAGGGAUAAACGCUGAAGGCAUCUAAGCGUGAAGCCCCCCUCAAGAUGAGAUAUCCCAUCCGAAAGGAGUAAACCCCCUUGAAGACGACGAGGUCGAUAGGGCAGGGGUGGAAGUGUGGUAACACAUGGAGCUGACUGCUACUAAUAGGGUGAGGGCUUGACC